rnacentral:piRNA from 1 species
AUGAGGAUAAAAAUGAAUUUAGAACAGAA